CUCCCAACAGCGCCGACGCGAGGCGUUUGCACCUGCGGCCCCCGGACCCGUGCCUGCGCAGGCGUACACCUCCCACGUGACACCGGGAUCCAGCCAGUGGUUCGCCGUUGCGCGGGGUGGCCGGACGAGCACGCCGCCCUGCUCAGGGACCCGAGGGUGGCGUCGGGAGCCAAGGCUUGCCUCCCCUGCGUGUCUCUGCCAGUCGUGCGUGGACAACCCUGUCCGCUGUCUUCGCACGCGUGGACCCUGUCUCACCCCAAGUACCCACAGGCCCCGACCCCUGUCCUCAGCACAGAUGGGGACUUCAUGAGAGCCCAGGCCAGUAAUAGCCACGGCCUGCGUCCCCCCUUCCCAUGCUGACGUUGCCGCCUUGCCUGUUCCCAGAUGGUACCUCCUCCCAUCGGCUCUCCUGUUAGAAGCCUGAGGGGCCAGCAUCCCUCCCUCUGGGCCUGGCCUCUUGCUCCCGUCUGGGGCUUUCGCGACCUUCCCGAGGCCUCCUCAGCUCCUUCCUGCUGGGAAAGACUUGUCCCCACUGCACUACCAGGGAAAGUGCUCCCCAAACCUGCCCUCAACCAGUCACAGGUGAGGCCCAGGCCAGAGAGACGGGCCCCAGGACUGAACCGCUUGUUGGCCCCAGGAGGGCUAUGACGUAUGUGCUGUGAGAAGGCAGAGGAUUCUACAGAAGGCGGCCCCCCGGGAUCCACACUGCAGCCGACUUCUCAGGAAACAGGACUGAAGGCUAUAUCUUUCCAUUUGUGAUAACAUGGACAGCGGGGGAAACACCCUGAGAAAGGAAAUCGUGUGUGUCCGUUUGUGCAGAUCCACAACUGUGCUCUGACGCAGCAUGUCAGUGACCAUGGCAAACACGCUUCUGCCAACCUUCCACUGACUUCUUGGAACACGGAAAACUUCCAAAAUAAUCACCAGCUUCUUUCUGGCUGA